UGAAUUCAGUCUUAGAUAUUCUACAAAAGCGUUUCGCAAUUGAUUUACCAAAGAACAAGUUUUCUUUUUUGAAUCCAUUGGAAUGAUUUCGGCCUUUUUAGAAAGAAAAAAAAGUUUUAGAUCUUUUCUGUUCAAAUAUGACUGGCGAUAAUUCAAGCAACCAGCAAUACUCGGGCCACAUUUGCCAGUGUCUAAGUCGAAUAUCUACAGCAAGAAAUGACUGUUUUCACAAUUUUCGUAGACCGACGGAAAACUGGUCUUGAAUUCGUCCAGAGCGUCUGUAAUUUCCAUUGCUGCUCUUAACAGUGAUUUGUAUUUGGAAUGGCUGUUGGCAAUUUCAUUUGUAGGUGGGAUUUCAGCUCCUCUAAACUACCAUUUGGUAAGUAACAUAAAACCAGAAAUUGAUGCAUUUGCACACCCAGAAUCAAUUGCUUGGCAGUUCUAAACUAAUUUGUGGGUGACAUAAACGGUUUUCUUGCAGAGUGUUUGAAGAGGCAAAAUCAGCAAUGGAGGUAGUUAAUCCGGUUAUGCUAGUUGUUAAUGAGAGUUGUCAUACAUGGUACACCCAGUUGCAACAUGGCAGAACCGAUUCCAUCAAAUGGCAUGUUUUCAUCGGAGAUUGUCCGCCGUCUUCAAGGAAAUGAAGUUGAGCAGGUUUAACAUACGGAAGCUUUUUCUAUUGUGGAGGAAGCCAUUUCCUCUGACAUCAAACGGGAAACUGAGAAGAUAGUCUUGGAUUUGAUGAUAAUCCCCUAGAGAUUCAUGUUCUCUAGGAUCACUACAUAUAAAACCCCAAUAAUAUCUUUUGUGUUUACAACCAAAUGAAGGGUAAAGACCUGAAUCUAAUGGUUUUUAAAAAAAAAAAAAAAAAAAAA